AUGAGAACAGAAAUGGGCUUGGGGAGCCACACACUGCCAGCUCCAAAUUCCCAAGGACAAGGAUCCCUCUGCAUUUUUACAUAUCGAACCUCUUACACGGACUACAUUCAGCUGUGAGGCAAGGAAAGCCUUGGUUGCAGUGGUUUAAACAAGCUGAAGAUGGGUUUUCUACAUAGCAUGGAUUCCGGAGAUGGGUGGCUAACGGUUGGUUCAACAGCUCUGUGACGAUAAGGGCCACAUCUCAGAUCCUUCUGCCUUGCUCUCAGUGCUUGUUCCUUCAUGGUCCCAAGAUGGCUGCUGUAUCCCCAAGAAUCAUGUCUGGAUUCAAGGAAAGAGGGGUGGAGGAAGAGGAAGGGCUAAACUAGCUGGACCUCCACCACACCUGGCCGGACCUGUCACCUUCUAUCAGAAAGUAAAACCUCAGUUAGAAGCCUGUUUCCUGCUCUCUCCUCCUGCAUAUUUUCACUUAGAUGCCCUUGGUUCAAGCCAGCUACCACUGCACCUCUAGCUGCAGAGAAAGCUAAAACAGCAGGGAACAGAAUUUUCAUGAUUGAGUACAUCGGUCAUGUUCCAUCUACUGAGACUAGCACACUGCCUCCUGCAAUAAAUCUGAGAUCCCAUUA